CGAUCUAGUUUAAUUUUAUCUCAUGUGUGUGUAUAUAAUAAUGGGACUGGGAUGCGGCGCUGCUUUUUGUUAGACCGGCUCUUUAGUAUUUUUUGGGUGGGAAAUGGUUCACAUUGUUUUCUUCUAUCAAAUUUUAGUUACCUCUGUAUUGUGUGCUUGCUGCUAAACUUAGUGCUCGUCCACUCCAUUUAGGAGCUAUCACCUGCACUAUGGUGAUUCAGGCAUUCAGCUCGAUGGUGUUGUCAGUUCAGCUGAUAAUAUUCCCACUGCAGUUUAUGCUAAACUUGUGUUCUAACUGAACAAAUAUUUAUAUGGACACCAAUUGCAUCUAGAUUUGUAUGCAUGAUGAUUUGUUGUUCAUCAGGGCGAGAGUAUCAUUGAAGCAAAGUAUACCGCGAAUUUUAUUCUGUGAUGUGUCUUCUUUGUAUGCAUUGAGCUACUGAUAAUAUAUAUGGCAUGUUCACCUCAAAAAAUAUAUAUGGCAUGUUGUGUGCAUUUCACAUGGGUGAAAAGGCUCUGUUUCCUGAGCAUGUCCCAGUUUUCCGUGGAUGAAUACAUUAUUACUCCCUCCUAGGAAUACAUUAUACAAAAUGCCUUUUAUAUCAGUACAGAUUCUUCAAGUCUAACUGUAUAUACCCCAAAAAUUUCUUCAAAAAAUUAUAAAGCAGUAACUUCUUACUUAGCAGAAGUCUUCUUGAAUUUAUUUUUGUUCUGCAUAUAAUCUAGGCCCUUUGCCAUUUUCUUCUAGCCAACUCCUUUGCAGAUUUAUACUGUGACAAAUAACACAUCCUCAUGUAAGCUAGCUUUAUAGGAAAAGAAAUAUCAGUCCUAGACAUCAACAGAGAUACAGCCAUAGCAGUGCACAUAAUGCCCUUGGCUAACCUUGUAGUUCCCUUUUUUGCAAGCGAUUCACUGUCCAACAUCGAUUACGAACUGCAAGCCAGAGAAAGAUCAUGCAUUUGUUAGGGGCCCAAGACUUCCACAAACGUUUCCAAGGUUCAAACUUGAUGGCGCCGACAAAGAAGGCUUUAUAAGCUGAUCUUGAGGAGAAGAAACCUGAGCUUUCAAACUUCCAGCGAUGUAUGUCAGACGAACUGCUUAAGUGAACAUCAGAGAUUGCAUCCCAAAGCUCAAGAUACUCCAUAAGACCAUGCCAAUUCAGUGCGCCUCUUAUGUCAAAAACCCAAGUGUUAUCCACCAAAGCCUCAGCCACCGUUCUUUUCUUUCGUGUGCGUACUGUGACAGUCCUAAAAACAUUUGGUGCAAGUUCUUCUAUACUUUUACCAAGUAACCAUCUAUCGGACCAGAAAAGAGUGUCAUAGCCACUACCCAUAUUUGUCACAAC